UGCAGUCGAACGAGCGAGAGAGAGCUUGCUUUCUCAAGCGAGUGGCGAACGGGUGAGUAACGCGUGAGGAACCUGCCUCAAAGAGGGGGACAACAGUUGGAAACGACUGCUAAUACCGCAUAAGCCCACGACUCGGCAUCGGGUAGAGGGAAAAGGAGCAGUCCGCUUUGAGAUGGCCUCGCGUCCGAUUAGCUAGUUGGUGAGGUAAUGGCCCACCAAGGCGACGAUCGGUAGCCGGACUGAGAGGUUGAACGGCCACAUUGGGACUGAGACACGGCCCAGACUCCUACGGGAGGCAGCAGUGGGGAAUAUUGCACAAUGGGGGAAACCCUGAUGCAGCGACGCCGCGUGGAGGAAGAAGGUCUUCGGAUUGUAAACUCCUGUUGUUGAGGAAGAUAAUGACGGUACUCAACAAGGAAGUGACGGCUAACUACGUGCCAGCAGCCGCGGUAAAACGUAGGUCACAAGCGUUGUCCGGAAUUACUGGGUGUAAAGGGAGCGCAGGCGGGAAGACAAGUUGGAAGUGAAAUCCAUGGGCUCAACCCAUGAACUGCUUUCAAAACUGUUUUUCUUGAGUAGUGCAGAGGUAGGCGGAAUUCCCGGUGUAGCGGUGGAAUGCGUAGAUAUCGGGAGGAACACCAGUGGCGAAGGCGGCCUACUGGGCACCAACUGACGCUGAGGCUCGAAAGUGUGGGUAGCAAACAGGAUUAGAUACCCUGGUAGUCCACACUGUAAACGAUGAUUACUAG
rnacentral:rRNA from 1 species